rnacentral:pre_miRNA from 1 species
UAUUAAAAAAUUCAUCUAUUUCUAUUGUUAAAAACUAGCAUGGUUAAUAGAAUAACCAAAUAGUGGCAUGUCGUUUGCCAUGUGUACCUCAUGCUGACUUUCUGGAACCAGUUAAAAAUGGAUGGAAUUUUUAACA